UGGAGGAGGAGUGAGCACAGGGUUUCCGGCUUUAUUGCUUUGUAGGUGAAGAACGGUGCUAGAUCACCUGUCUGUGAAGCCACAGCUGAAUUCUAUGGAGAGUGUUGUGCAUGUGCAGGUUUCAUACUCUGGUUUACAGAGCAGGAGCAAGCCCGUCGUGUGAGAUCUCCUCCGUGCUUAGGAUUCCCACACCUCAGAAAAGAGAGCAGGUUUCUUCAGUCAGAGAUUUCAGGCCGCUAGCCUGUCAACUACGGCACGGAUGCUCUGCAGGACUGCUUGUGCUGGUGCUGCCUUCCUUUCUGGUAUUAUUGAGUGGAGAGGAGCCGCCCUCUGUGCAGGAUUAAGUUAAGUUUCCGGAGGGACCCAGAGGUGCCCCCAGCCACGCACCUCCGAGGGGGCUGUUGGGAUGCUUCCCCCUGCAGGCUUCAAAGUGUUUGCACCUGGGUGGACGUGAGCUGAGAGUUAAGUGAUGGGAGAUCGCGAGCAAGAACACGGGAAGGGAUCUAAGGGGGGUGAAGUCUUAAGCCACGAGGAAGCUUGUCAGGAUGACUGGAAGAACGCAGUUGGAGUUGCAUAAGGCUUCUGAUGCUGUACCUGAGCUUGUAAAUAGGGAGCGGUUGUCCUCUUGGAAACUUGCAGUUCCCCUGCACAGAGAACCCGGCACCACGACGUGGGUUUGUUUUACAUCCCGUGCAGCUCAUUAGGGACGAUGGGCAGUUGAUGAUGGACACCUUCCUUUCCUGAGCUCUCCACAGUGUGAGUAAAGAACAUCGAUGCGGGGCUGUUAUUCCCUGACAGGAAUUCUUCUGACAGGAGGAUGGUGCUAGCCACCCGGCAG